AAACGACUCUCGGUAACGGAUAUCUCGGCUCACGCAUCGAUGAAGAACGUAGCAAAAUGCGAUACUUGGUGUGAAUUGCAGAAUCCCSUGAACCAUCGAGUUUUUGAACGCAAGUUGCGCCCGAAGCCAUCCGGUUGAGGGCACGCCUGCCUGGGCGUCACGC
rnacentral:rRNA from 1 species